rnacentral:rRNA from 1 species
UCUUAGCUUGCUAAGGCCGAUGGCGACCGGCGCACGGGUGAGUAACGCGUAUCCCCCUUGACUUACACUCUUGGACAGCCUUCUGAAAGGGAGAUUAAUACAAGAUGUUAUCAUGAGUAAGCAUUUUCGCAUGAUUAAAGGUUUACCGGUGUAAGAUGGGGAUGCGUUCCAUUAGAUAGUAGGCGGGGUAACGGCCCACCUAGUCUUCGAUGGAUAGGGGUUCUGAGAGGAAGGUCCCCCACAUUGGAACUGAGACACGGUCCAAACUCCUACGGGAGGCAGCAGUGAGGAAUAUUGGUCAAUGGACGAGAGUCUGAACCAGCCAAGUAGCGUGAAGGAUGAAGGUUCUAUGGAUUGUAAACUUCUUUUAUACGGGAAUAAACGGAUCCACGUGUGGAUUUUUGCAUGUACCGUAUGAAUAAGGAUCGGCUAACUCCGUGCCAGCAGCCGCGGUAAUACGGAGGAUCCGAGCGUUAUCCGGAUUUAUUGGGUUUAAAGGGAGCGUAGAUGGGUUGUUAAGUCAGUUGUGAAAGUUUGCGGCUCAACCGUAAAAUUGCAAUUGAUACUGGCAGUCUUGAGUACAGUUGAGGUAGGCGGAAUUCGUGGUGUAGCGGUGAAAUGCUUAGAUAUCACGAAGAACUCCGAUUG